UUUAGCAUGAAGAUUUUUGGUGGCUUGAAACUGUUACUCUAUAUAGAAGAAACUGUGGACAACAUAUCAGGGUACUUGAGGAGCUUUUCAGAGGGUGAUUCAAGUGAGUUUGGCAUGAAUUUAAUUACCUUGGAGAAGGUGCUCAUGGGAUUUAUUUCAAACACUAGCCAAGAGAGUCUGGCUUUAUAUCUACGUCUCUAAUGAAGUUUCUGG